rnacentral:rRNA from 1 species
GACGAACGCUGGCGGCGUGCUUAACACAUGCAAGUCGAACGGGGCGAAGUGAUAGCUUGCUAUUAUGGAGCCUAGUGGCAAACGGGUGAGUAACGCGUAGGCAACCUGCCCCUUCAGAUGGGGACAACACCUCGAAAGGGGUGCUAAUACCGAAUGACGUUUCCUGGUCGCAUGACCUGGAAACCAAAGGCCGGGCAACCGGUCACUGAAGGAUGGGCCUGCGUCUGAUUAGCUAGUUGGUGGGGUAACGGCCCGACCAAGGCGACGAUCAGUAGCCGGUCUGAGAGGAUGAACGGCCACAUUGGGACUGAG